CGCACCGGCUCCACUUGGCUCACCUGAGGGACGCCUAGUGUCUGAGCGGGGGAGGCAAGCCCUGCGCGAGGAGCCCUGUCUGAGCGGUGCCUUGCUUGCCCCACCCUCAUCCCAGAGGCCCUGGAAGAUGAGGCACCACAUGGAGAGAGAGGCCACAUACAGGAGAAUGGAGGUGCCCCUGCUGAGCUGGCUGAACGGGGCAUGUGAGUGAUCCAGGUGGCAUGAUGUGAAGCAGAGUUACCUAGGCCACGCACAGAAUGGUAAGAAAGAAUAAAACCAUCGUAUCUGAGGCCACUGGGCUUGGGAUGGUGCAGCAGUAGAUAACCAAGUCAGCUUGAUGUACAAAUCCACCGCCCCCAAACUCAGGUGUAACUCAAAGGACGGACUUCCCUGGUGAUCCAGUGGUUAAGACUCUGUGCUCCCAAUGCAGGGGGCCGGGGUUCGAUACCUAGUCAGGGAACUAAGAUCCUACAUACCGCAACUAAGCCUGCACCGCAACUGGAGAAGCCCCCGCACCGCAACUGGAGAAGCCCCCGCACCGCAAUGAAGACCCAGCGCAGCCAAAAUAAAUAAAGAAAUAAAAUAAAUACAUUUUAAAAAAAAGGAAUUGGGAGAGAAAGUCAUAAUUGGGUAUGUUUCUUCCAUUGGAUAGGCUAGAGGCUUGUACUAUCCAUUAUAUAUAUAUUUUUAAAAUUUUAUUUAUUUAUUUAUUUUUAAAUAAAUUUAUUUAUUUAUUUUUAACUUUUAGCUGCGUUGGGUCUUCGCUGCUGCACACGGGCUUUCUCUAGCUGCGGCGAGCGGGGACCACUCUUCGUUGCGGUGCAUGGGCUUCUCAUUGCGGUGGCUUCUCUUGUUGCGGAGCAUGGGCUCUAGGCGCAUGGGCUCUAGGCGCACGGGCUUCAGUAGUUGUGGUAUGGGGGCUCAGUAGUUGUGCACAGGCUUAGUUGCUCCGCGGCAUGUGGGAUCUUCCCAGACCAGGGCUCGGACCCAGGUCCCCCGAUUAGCAGGCAGAUUCUUAACCACUGCACCAUAUAAUAUAAUGGAGGGAAGCCCUCCAUUAUAUUUCAAUGACAGAAAAAGAAUUAAUGUUACUUUUUCUCAUUUGCUUGAGCAUGUCUGAAAUUCAUACCCUCUCUUUUCUACUGAAAAGAAAACAAAGCUGAUCACUCCUCACUGCUUAGGGAGUGGCCAUCCCAGCACCCCAGCUCCUUUGGUGACUGUACUCCAUCUUUCCCUUUGGCAAGCUGCCCCUCCUCCAUUUCAUUUUUUUUUUUUUUUUUUUUUGACCUCGCUGCACGGCAUGCAGGAUCUUAGUUCCCCGACCAGGGAUCGAACCCACACCCCCUGCAGUGGAAGUGCGGAGCCUUAACCACUGGACAGCCAGGGAAUUCCCACCCCUCCUCCAUUAUGUCAGCACCUGGAGGUCCUUCCAGUCAGGGUGCCUGGCCUGUGUCCAGGGUUGGACGUGUGAGCCACCCAGGCCAGCUAGACCUUCUCUCCUAGAACUCACUGGCACAGAACUGAAAGCCACUGGGCCUACAUCGUUCCAGUGGCCCAGGAGAGACCACUCAAGGGUUCCUGCUACCAAGGUCCCUGGAUCUUCUUGGGCUCCUCUUCUGCACUGCAAAGGAGGGCAGUACUUUGGAGUCGGCCAGCACCUUCCCACACUCUCCUUUCCCUUAAUUUAGCCAGAAUUGGUUUCUAUUGUCUGUCACCAAAGAGCCCUGACUGACAUGUGACACGGCCUGUUCAGGCAGACACUCAGUGGUGUCCUUUAUAUUUUUCAGUGCGGAGGUCACAUGGUUGGGCCAUGUGUUGGCCUGGGCACCUACAGUUCUUGCCAAAAGGGUCACUUGAGCGAGGAACACUGAUUUAUCUGAAUAGAAAUCUGUCAACAACCCCUUGGAGGAAACCAAACCCCCUGGUCCACUGCCUUGGGCCACAUACUUUCCUCCCCCAACCAGGGAAGUCUCAGCUCCCCAUCUCUCAGUGGCUCUCUUCCUCUUUGUAAUUCCAGACCUCAGUCUAGCCCGGGACUUCUUCCCACCAAAGCCACCAGGGACACUGAGUACAGUGCCAUGCUCAUCCUAGAUCUUCAUUACUGCUCUUCGAGCUCUCUCUGGAGGGCAUCCCGCUCCGCUGCAAGUUUCUGUAACCAGAGGGCACGGUCACGGGCUGCAGGGCUGAGUGGGACUCGGGCCACGGCUGAGCCCUCGCUCUCACUCGCUGGUGAGACCAGAGCUGGGAGGGGACUUGUUGAGGUCACAGAGCAAGUCAGUGGAGCCGGAGCCCUGACUCCCAGCCUCGGCCUCCCGGGGUGUCAGGCAGCCCAAGCUCACGAUGGACGUGACCCAGAUGGAUGACAGCCCGAGAACACAGGGGCAGACUCGGACACGAGAGGAAACCCGCUGGCCAACGCUGGGUGUGUCCUCCCGAGGACCCUCAAUCCCUGCCUGAGAGGCAAAAAGAGAAAAGCCAUGCUUCGGUGGACAGCGCCAAGCCUAGGGUUCAAACUGAAGUGCCUCAUUCCACCAAGAGCUAGUUUCAGGUCCAGCAUCUCCAAAACAGCCAGAAUGGGGCCGCCCGACGUUCAUGAAAUGGGCUCUGGGUGAGGAACCAGUCGGGCAGCUCAAGGUGGAUGGAUAGGACGUGAGGAACUGGCACAGAGGUGACCCCAAACCCCAGAGCCUCCAAGUCCUCACAGGGGUGGUCGUGGUCUCCUGGCCCCAGGCGCCCCUGACCUCCUUCCAGGCACACGUUACCUCCCAGCUUUCCUGUUUUUCCCUCUCCAGGUUGUGGAUCCUCAGCAGAUUUUUCUCCUGUGCCGACAGCUUCCUUGGAUCGGGAUAGACGGACAGCUCAUCACUGGCUGUUUCUACCGACCGGCUCCGAGUCUGUCCCAGCUGUUUCUCAAGCUCUCGAACCUGAGGGUGGUUCCACAACAGGUCUGAAUUCAGACUCGACCCUCAGAGGGGCCGCCCUGUGAUGUGACAGGACACCCCACUAGACAGACGACAACACGGUUCCAGAUGGACGUGGAGGUCCCUCAUCUGUGAAGAGGCCUGUGAGUACACGCUGCAUAAUGCUGUUAUGAGAAUUCAGUACCCUGAACUUGUCUGAGCCUGGGAAUCCCCAAGACGCUUCUUGGGAUGACAAAUCUUGGGGUCCACUCCAUACCAACAAGUCAGAGCUCCAGGGGAAGAACUCGGGGAUCUGCACUUUAAACAAGUGCUACAGGUGAUUUUUAGGAUUAGGCAACUUCAAGAAACCCCAAAAUGGCCUGGGUGAAGCCCUCAGCACAGGGGAGUUGGAUGUCAUCCGACAGGAUGACGGCUUUAUCACACUGGGCUUAAAGUGGAUAACUCCUAGGGUCCUUCUAACCCUGAUUUCCACAUCAACACAACAUAAAUGAUGGAACAAAGUUGGGUUCCAUCAUUUGGAACAAAAUUCAGUAGGAUCCCUGGUAAAGGGCCUCAGUAUGGCUUUGAAAGCACAUUUCAGUGCCCUCGUGUGGCACUGUGUGGUAAUUCCAUUUAAACGUUAAAGAACACAGUACUAUUACUUUUAACCGUUUGUUUACACAGCUUAACAACACUAACAAUAAUAACUAAUGUGUUGAGUGUUUAUUAUGGCCAGGCACUGUGCUGGGUACUUCCCAAACGAUAUUUCAUUUAACCCACAACAACCCUACAAGGAAGGCAUUAUUAUUUCCACUUUACAGGUGAGGAGACUGCGACACAGAGAGAUGAAGAGAUUUGCCCAAAGACACCAAACUUAUAGACCAGUGACUGAGGCCAGACUCAAACUCAGGUCUCUUGAACCACAAGGCCACACACUGGUCGUUAACCACAGUUUUUCAGAGACCUCUCCCCCUUCAUGUUGGCUUCAGGGAUCCCACAGGAGACCCUGAGGGUAAAAGCCACCUGGGAACCUGGGGAUGAAGGCAAUGCACUUGGCAAAUAGUGGAAACGACGCACCUAUUUGUGUGACCCUUGGUUUCUUGGUACAGCUAACCUUCGGACGGUGUUUCCUCCAUGCCAGGCACUGUGGUAUGUGCAGGUACCACACGAAGUGCUUGACAAGGAGGAACUCAUUUCAUCCUCACAACCCCUUUGAGGUAGGUUCCAUUACCAAUGCAGAGCAGAGGCUGGAGGGGGGUGACCCCUCAGCUUGGGAGCCCUGGUAGGUAAGGGGGAGUGUGGAUGUGGAUCCUGGCAGCCCAACUUUGGGGGCUGAGCCCUGUGCUCCGAGGGUGGCACACACAGGUGGACGUGGGUGGUGGCCGCAGACAGGGAGCAUCUCUGGAGGAGGCUGCUUCCCAACUCCCAGACACUCCCAGGCUGUGGGCUCUGCUGUGCUCAGAGACUGGCAUCAUAGCAAAUCCAUCCUCACUCAGGAUGAACAGGGGCACUGGCACCUUUAGCGAAGGCAGCCCCAGCUUGGCAGGAGGGCCAUGACCAUCCCAACUUGGGGCGUUCCUCUCCUAGAAUUGUCAGACUGGGCCUUGGGCUCCCUUUCCUGGCAAUGAGCUCACUGAAUAGAAAUAAGGACCCAGUUUAAUCCCCAAAUGCUCCAUUUCUGUGGCUUGAAGAACUGCAGGAACCAUGAAAACUCUGCCUGCUGGAACUCUUAGCAAAGUCUUUAAAAAAAAAAAAAAAAAAAUUUCGGGCUUCCCUGGUGGCGCAGUGGUUGAGAAUCCGCCUGCCGAUGCAGGGGACACGGGUUCGCGCCCUGAUCCGGGAAAAUCCCACAUGCCGCAGAGCGGCUGGGCCCGUGAGCCAUGGCCGCUGAGCCUGCGCGUCCAGAGCCUGUGCUCCGCAAUGGGAGAGGCCACAACAGUGAGAGGCCCACGUACUACAAAAAAAAAAAAAAAACCAAAAAAAAACACCAAAUUUCAUUUAAACUAUUUGGUUGAAACUUUUCUCAAAUGUGUUCCCCAUUUAUGACUUAAAUAGAAGUUCCUGAAACUCUCAGAACUUUGGCAUUAAAGGGACUCCAAGGUCAGCCCGUUCAAACCCUUUCCAUAGGUGAUGCAGAUAAGGUCCAGAGAAGGGAAAUAACAUGGCCUCACAGGCACACAGCUGGUUGGGGUGACAGAAGUGGGAUUAGAGGCCUGGUCCUUCCUUUGCACUGGCUGAUUCUCCCAAUAUAAUCUUUUGCUGAUGCCAGGGCAUCGUGGUGACAGAAACAUUGGUUGGUGGGUUGAGUGUCCCAUCAGGCAAUGACACUAAGACCAUCUGCUCCUGUCCCAACAGAUCAGAUGGACUAGACUUCUGGGAAACAGGAUGGGUACUGCAGUGGCUUCCUGAACUUUCCUUAGUAGCCACAGACAAAACCUCCUGUGAACGAUAGUGUGAAAGAUAGAUCCCAGAAGACUGGGUCUGGGGAGUUCCAUGGACCCGAGAGGCUCUGGGCAGCCCCGCUGGAAACCACUGGUCAAGGAAACUAGACCCACACACAGGGCCCAGAAGGCCUGGACUCAUCCGGUCUUCUCAUCUAGGAAAUGGCUGCUUCCUCACAGCACCCGCAGGAGGCUAAACAGUGUAACCAGUGUGAGCAGAGUUUGCAAAUUGGGAAUUUACAUAAAACAUACAUGCAUCUUUCUUUAAUCUAUAUUUUUGUAUGUCCUUCCGCUGCCUGGCUGUAUGCCAUCCCUCCCCACUGCUGUUGGGAGCCUGUCUGCUCCCCUGCUAAGGUGCUGCUUUGAAUCUGCCCUGGGCUGGGAAGCAACAGUCCCUGCCUUUCAGAUCUUCGGUGCCAUGAGCCCCCUGCUGGCUCUGGUGGUUGGCGGUGCAGGAGCCGUGAGAGCAUUUGGGAGCCUGAGGGCACGGAAAGAGCGCACCGACUGGAUCCGGAUCUGAGACCCAGGCAGCAACGACUGUCUCCAAGCCUUGUUUCCUCUUCUGUGAAAUGGGGGCACGUUAUACCAGCCUCUGGGGUACAUAAGAUGCCCGGGAAAACACUUGUCCUGAGGAAUGGAGACUGUAACCCACCACGCACUCUUCCGUCAGAAACCUCCCAGGCUCCCUGCAGCCACAGAAUGAAGUUGGAAUUCCUACUCCAGCUACCAUCAAGGCCUCCCUCCACAGGUGACCCCGCCCCAGCUUUGUCUGGAUAUAUUCCCGUUUUCCUCCUCAGGGCCCCUGGGCUGCAGCCAAACGUUAUCCAGCUGAUGCCCUGCUAACAAACAAAAUAGGAAUAUUGACACUUUCCUGCUCUGAGCUUGCACUGCUUCUGCUGGAAGGGCCACCCCCAUCUUCCUGCUCCAGCAAGGCCACCUGAGGAAGCCCUCAUCCAUCCCACCUCCUGGCUGCCUCAGGUGGAGCAUGUGCUCCCUCUGUGAACUCAGAGCCUAGGGGCUUUCUCUGAAGGCCCUGUCCCCCUCCUUCCUUUAGUAUGCCUACUCAUCUCCCCUCUUGAACCCCCUGUGGACAGUGGGCCUGUCUUUGAUUCUCUGUGUUCCAGGGCUCAGAACAUUCUGUCAGGCUCAACAAGUGACUGAACAAGUAGCUUCCCAUUUAGGAGAGCCCCAGUCAGAGGUAUGGAUAAACAAGGGGCAGCUUAGAAGUGUCCCUCAGAGCUGGGAAAGGCACUGAACGACACUCAGUCUAGCGUCUGCUGAGGGCGGAGCCCCUCCGUUGCCUCCCCAGCAAUGAGACAGAUCUACACAAGACUAGCCUUCAGGAGACCUGUUCACCCCUGACCUGGAACCUGAGGGGCCUAUCACUCGAGGGCAGUAUUCUCCUCAAGACAGGCCUGAGGUGGCUUGAUCUUGAGUCAUAGACAACACGGAGAAUUGGGUGGAAAAGGGGCACUGAACUAGGAGUCCUGAGGCUUGGAUUCCGUUUCACCAACUCAUUUGGCUUCUUAAGAAAACCAUGGGGGGAAUUCCUUGGUGGUCCAGUGGUUAGGACUUGGCGCUCUCACUGCCGAGGCCCCAGGUUCAAACCCUGGUCGGGGAACUAAAAUCCCAUAAGCCGUGAGGUGUGGCCAAAAAAAAAAAAAAAAAAAAAAAGAAAACCAAGGGGAGGCCUCCUGGGAUGUUAUUGAGACUCUUAGCUGUUUAUUGUCUGGCUUGGGCUCCAUGCUCCUCCCUGGUAGCCCACUGGGUCAGACUGCCUUCCGUUCACGGAGCUGCGAUUCCCACGCCCUGAGUUUCAUGGAGGCUCACUGGCUUAGAAAAAAUGGAAUCUUGGGAACAGCCCCAUUCCCAAUAGUCACUUUUACGCUGUAGAUUUGGAGUUCCACAAAGGGAAGACUUCUUACAAUAUGGAUUGCCCCAGCAAAAACCAGGGUUCCAUUGAGGAGGAGUGAGCUCCCUGUCCCUGGGGUACGGUAGAGAGGCUGAAUGUCUCCCCAGUAAGGAUGCUGUAACGGACAUCCUUUACAGCUGGGCUGAGAGCAGGAGGCUAAUUGGAUCAGGUCUUCCCUCCUGGUCCUGAAAUUCUAGGAUUCCAGGGUCCUCAGCCCCCUCCUGACCUCCCUCUCUGGGGACUAAAUCAGAGUUAGCCCCUCACCAGCCUUCACUAGGGCAUUCUUGGCCUCAGACAGUAGACUUGGUCACUGUCCCCUGAUGGCUACUCUGAGGAUGUUGCAGUGGUGGCACUGGCUCAGCAAUGGGGUGGAUGCCAGACAGAGGCACCUACGCCCCCAUGGAAGAGGGGAGGCACAAGCCCAUGGCUGCCUCACACACUCCCAAGCACAGAAGAGAAGUCAUACCAAGGCUCUGUCUCCCAUCUGGGCCUUCGGCAGCUUGGCUCCUGCGUCGGUGGCUCCCUUGGCUGGCAGCCUGGCCAGGGCCAUCUGCAGCUGAAAAAGCAAACCUGGCACUUAAUAUUUAAUUCUGCUCAGCAGUUGCGGCGCCUGAGUGAAGGGCUCUGGUGCUGCCGUCGGAUGUGUGGUCACGGAUCUCAGCAGUCCGUCCCUUCAGCUCAUUUUAAGGCCCAUUAAUGGAAGAACUCUCCUUUACAAGGCGCUCUGCGUUGGGAGAGGGUUUAACUGAUUGUCUGCCCCACUCCCCAGUCGCAGCCUAGGAUUCACGAACAGCUUAGUAAAUAAUGAUUCUGCAACCAUGGUCUGCAUCUAACAACAGCCUGGGAGGCAGAGAGAAAAGGAACUACGGACCUCACAUUACAGUUGAGGAGACAAGGUCAGAGACACUGAGAAACCUGCCACUCAGGCUCAUGGCCUGGUGGCCAAGACCACUGCUGUAUACAGACAGCCAACCAACCCUUUAAGGGUUUCCCAGUUGUCCUUCACACAAAGACCAUCCCUGUCUGACAAGGCUGGGCACGACCCGCCCUCCCACCUCUCUGACCUCAUCUUGCUCCAAGCUCGGCCACAUUGGUCCCCUUUCAGGCCUUUAUUCCUAUUCAGGGCCUUUGUACCUGCUGGGUCCUCUGCAUGAAGGCCUCUCCCCCGCCCCUCCGAGUCUGGCCCCUUCUCAUCCUCCAGGGACCCACUGUGCAUACUCCCGCCUCUAAGGGGCCCUCGAUGCUGGUCUGUCUCCAGGAGGGCAAGGACCAGGCCUAUUUUACUCCCCACGGUCUCCCCAGGGCCUGGCCCAGAGCCUGCGAUGGUUCUCAAAAAAUACGUUAUAGAAUAAAGAAGGUCUAAUUCAAUGCCAAGUGUAAUGACUGUGGAGGAUUUUGGAGAGCAACAGAACUGGAUUUGAAAUCUGACACCACCACAUGCUGUGUGACUUGAGAAAGCCUCUUAACCUCUGCCAGCCUCGGCUCCUCCAGCCACAUAAGGAGAAGCUAUGUAGGUUCACUCCAGCUCCUGAGGGACCAUGAACCGCUGGGGCUUGUACCCUCUCUCGACUGGAGGGGUUUGUCGUUAGCUGUGGGAAGGUAGGGGCAGCAGAAAGAGAAAGGUGGACAAAAGUGAGAUGAACUGGUGGAAUGCUCCUGGCUCUAGCUUCAGAUUGGCAAGGAUCCCUGUUAAUUCAUUCGACAAUGCCUUUCUGGUGCUAACUACCUGCUAGGCACUGUUCUAAGCAUUUUACAGUGUUAAGUCAUUUAAUCCUCAGAAAACCUCGGGGUGAGUGCCGUUAUAACUGCCACGUGACAGGUGGUGGAAACUGAGGCACGGAGAGCUUAUACCUGGCUCACAGUCACAACACAAGUCAGCAGUGGAGCUGAGAUGCACACCUAGGUGGUCAGGCUCCCGGCUUGCGUCCUCCUAGCUACGUCAGGCUAUCUCUCCACCGCCCGCGUCCUCCUUGCUUCCCGACACUUUCCCCUCUCAGGAUAUGACAGAGACUGAGGGACUCAUUGCAAACACUGACCCACCAGUCCUUGGGAAGGACCUACAGCAUCUAAGUGUGCUCCCUCUCUGGAGGAGUGGUGUUGGGUACAGGGAGCCCGGGGCAGGGGCGCCUGAGGCCCCUCACCUCUCCCUCCAGCUCCUGGAUGCGGUUGCUCAGCUGCCUCGCUCUGGUCUUCGCACCCUCAGACUCUGCCAUCAGCACCCGGUUCUUUUUGGACAGCUCAACGAUCUUGGUGGCAGUCACAUCCCCAGCCACCCCAGCCGUCCCUAAAAUGAAGGAAAACGGUAAGGUCGAUUAAAAACACAGGCACACACAUCGAACAGGCUUGCUGCUGCUGGCCUGGGCCAGCAGCGAUUUGGGCAACUAUGAGUAGCUGCCCUCGGCCACCUCGUGUCUGUUGAAGAGGAUUAGGACACAUCAGGAGAAAGGAGAAAGAACCUGGGGAAGGAAACCAAACCUAGAAAUACAAAUGGUCCAGUGGUGAGUUCUCUGGUUAUGUUUUCCUCCCAGGACCCAAAAGCAUUACAAAUCCUGGAACUAGACAUCAGAAAGAAGUCUAAGAGAAGCCCUCUCUAGUCCAAAGUGCAGGAAGUGGGGCUAAGAGCCAGCCAGGGCUCUCUCCCAACUCUGUCUCCAGACAAGCCCCACUCUUUUUUUUUUUUUUUGUGGUACGCGGGCCUCUCACUGUUGUGGCCUCUCCCCUUGUGGAGCACAGGCUCCGGACGCGCAGGCUCAGCGGCCACGGCUCACGGGCCCAGCCGCUCCGCGGCAUGUGGGAUCUUCCCGGACCGGGGCACGAACCCGUGUCCCCUGCGUCGGCAGGCGGACUCUCAACCACUGCGCCACCAGGGAAGCCCCUAGCCCCACUCUUGAAGCUGCAACCCCAUUAUAAUGGGGGCGUCAGUGAAUGGGCAAGCACAGAAAUGCUAAAAUAUCUGGGUAAAUAUAAUAGACUAUUUUGCAUCCUUCAGUGUUUUAAAACGUAUAAUGGUUGAAAGCAAAUAUGAUAGCAUAGUCUGAUGGGAUGUUCAACAUAUACAGACAUAAUACAUAUAAAAGCUGUAAUAUAAGGGGGGAGGGUAAAGGGACUUAUAUGGUGGUAAGGUUUCUUCAUUCCACUUGAAGUGUUAAAAUAUUAAUUCUAAGUAGACCAUGAAAAGUUAUGUGUGUUGUAAGCAAUCACUAAAAAAAUUGUACAAAGAAAUAGAAAAACUAAACUAAAGCAAACACUAAAAGUCCGCCCAAAGGAAAACCAGUUCAUCAGCUGUCAGUAGCCUGUCACUGUAGCCUGGUUUAAAAACAUGAACUGAGACUGUCAGACUUUUCUCUUCAAAACAUGAAGUUGGAAAUCAGAAAUGGGGACUGCUGAGUGAGGACUGGAUUUAAGAGGUCUUGAGGGAGGCUCAGGGCUGGCACUCAGAUGAGGCCAUGAGCAUGCCAGCAGAAGACAGGAUGUGGGGCAGGCUGGAGAGGAGGGAGCAGGCCCUGUCUCCCAGGUCUCCUGGGGUGAGGAGGCAGCUCCUGCCCUCCCCGGAGCCCAUCAACUUCUCGACACCCUUGCAAAAGCAGCCCCUUCGCAUCUGAGCCCCGGACCAGGUUAGGUGUUAUCUUCUCUUCAGUGUGGUUUUGUUUUAGACAGAAGAGGCCAAAGAAUGGAGGGAAGCACAACAGGCUACCAAGGGCCUUUAAGAUACCAGAUUCCCCUUGCUUUUUAAUUCGGCACUGGUCCUCUGGGUGCACCUACUCUUAAAGUCAUUUCCUAGCAAAGGCAGAGAGAGACGCUCUGACAGAUGCCAGCUGAGGCAUCAUGCCCUCUCUGAUUGCUGACACUGACUUUGUGCUUUCUCAGUCAGCCACCUGGGAAUUGCUCAACGGGCAUACAUAGAGCAGAGGACAAUCAGGGCCAAGGUCCCCACCAGAUCUGUAAGAACAAGGUCUAGCUCAUAACCACAGGGUCAGUGGUCAAUGUCCAGCCCACACCCACAGGGCUAAGGUCAUCUCUAGGCCUACAAAGCCAAGGUCCCUAACAGACCCACAGGGUCAAGGUCUCCAGCAACAGAACCAAGGUCCAACUCCGACCUGAAGGGCCAAGGUCCACUGUACAUGCUGCUGGAUCCCAGGAAAUCCUCCCAGAACAGCGAACUCCCCUGUCUUGUCCACCCUUCCGGAGCAGCAACAGCAAGUGGUGUAGAGUAAAUGCCUGCUUCCACUGGGGCUUUUUCACGUCCAUGAUACAGUGUUUGAGCCAGAGCAUCCAGAUAGAGUGGAUGCCGUUGGCCCACCGAACAUGUAGCGAGCAUCACGGAGAACUCUUGUCAUGAGUCCCAGCGGGGUCACCCACACUGCCUGGAAUGCCUGUCUUCUGCCCCUGCUGUUCUCGUGCUUCCGUUUCCCAGCUUGCUGGCCUAGCUGGCCUGCUCCAUUCCUCUCCCCUCUCCCUCAUUUUCAGGAUUCAUCUGGACAAGCUUGAGCACAGCUGAACCUUGCACUGUCUCUUGAGCACCUGCCCUCUGGAACCUGCUGGUUGUCCUGCCCUGUAGGCUCCAUGGCAACUGGGCCAGCCAACCUGGACUUCAGAGCAGAAACUGUCGCAACAGCAGUGGAGCUACCUGUGAAGGCAAAUCUGUCCUCUUCUAUUUUCUUUUUGAGGUGUGUGAUUUCAAAGUCCCUCUCCUUCAGCAACUUAUACAAUCGCCCGUUCUCAUCCACUGUUUCCCUGAGUUGAUCCCGAAGCCGUUCGAUCUCGUCUUCAAGCAUCCUGCAAGGCAAAGGCAGAAUCACAGGAACUGAUGGGCAGAGGUCAGGUCUCCACAGCCUAGGUUUGUUGUACCUGGUUGGGCACUGGGUGGAGAUAAGAACUGGUCUGUACAAAAUAGGAAUGAGAUAUUAAGGGAAUCUCAGUGAGCAGAUUUUUAACACACUGUUCUCAAAACUGAACGAUUAAGGACACACACACAAGUGAAAGGAGAAAGAAGUUUUCAAUAACAUGGUUUACUACGGAUUCAACAGAGCUAUAUAAAACCCCACCCAGAGAAUUCAUACUCCUUUCCAGCAUCCAUGGAACAUGCAUAAAGAUGUAUUAUAAUUUAGGCUUCAAAGGCAACCUUAGCAAAUUCCAAAUAAUGGACAUUAUACAGCCCAUUUUCUUUAAUGGCAAUUGACUAAAAUUAGAAAUCAAUACUAAAAAGAGAACAAAAAUGAAAUAAAAAACAGAACUCCAAACCCAUUAUAUGCUUGGAACUGAAAAAAAAAAAACCACACACAUACACACACUCCUAAAUUAUUUAUGGGUUAAGAAGAAAUCAUAAUGUGUAUUAUGAAGCAUUUAGAAUGGAUUGACUGUAGAAGCAAUAUGUAUGAAAACUUGCGAACAGCAGCUAAAGUGAUACUUAGAAGGAAAUUUAUAGCCUUAAUUGCAUAUGUAUAUUAGAAGACGAAAGAGGAAUUGUCUAAGCCUUAAGUUGAGACCAGGUCUCUGGGUCUCAGGUAAACCCAAUAGGAAAUCAGAAUAGGUGGCUAGUUUUGUAUAUUACAAUUGUCUUGCAAGUCUUUAUUUAUUUAUUUAUUUUUUUUACGGUAUGCGGGCCUCUCACUGUUGUGGCCUCUCCUGUUGCGGAGCACAGGCUCUGGACGCGCAGGCUCAGCAGCCAUGGCUCACGGGCCCAGCCGCUCCGCAGCAUGUGGGAUCCUCCCGGACCGGGGCACGAACCCAUGUCCCCUGCAUCGGCAGGUGGACUCUCAACCACUGCGCCACCAGGGAAGCCCAGGUCAUUUUUCUUUAGAACUUUAAAACAUGAAAAACACGUGACUGGUGGGUCUGUGAUCACUUCUACCGUUAGGCAUGGAGCCAGCUCCAUAGAGGCAGUUGCUCAGGAAGUAAAUAAGUUACAGAAAUUAUAGAUAACAGUAAUUAUUUACUAACAGCUAUUAUUAUUGUUGGUGUUAUUCUAACAACAGCUCAAGUCUCCACAAAUUCCAGUUUCUCUGACUUGGGGAAAGAUCAUUGGGAAUAGGUCUGGGGUUAACUUAGAGCUAAUAUUUAGGAGCCAUAUGAAUUUUUUCAAUUAUUGAGAAAUCUUUAUUUUUUUCCUAAUUAGCAUUUUUCAGUAGAACAUUGUGAAAAUCGAGAAACCAUGAAAAGUAGAAUUUGCAGAUGGAGAAGAUAGAUUCUGGGUGAAACCAGAAACAAAGAGAUAGCUCAACAAAUGCUGUGAUUUUUUUUUUUUUUUUUUUUUUGCAAAAUGACUAGCAAACAAUUUUGUUUCAAUCCAGACUCCUGCUUCUAAUAACCAAUGUAAAUCAAUGCAUCUGUGUGACAUUGGCAAAUUUAAAGCAAAACGAGAAGAUUCUGGAGUCCUUUCAACUGUUUCACCAACCAUAUAAAAGCAAGGAAUCCAUAAACUGCUUCUUUAGGACAGGUAUGUUUAUGUGUCUUUAUGUGUCAGGGAAGGAAAACUGACACAGGAGAACAGUCCCAGAUGAGGUUUGGAGUAGUGAUCACCUGUGAAUCAUCAGAGCCAGCCAACCAGCUCCUCAAAAACCAAAACACAUUUUUCACGAAAGAGAGACUACGUAAGAAAAUUCAAGUGAAUAAACUACACCUUGAUGAGUUUCAAAUUUUCCAUUUGACUUUAAGUGGUUUUUGAAUACACUUCAUGUCAAAUUAUGUCCCUUUAUCCGAUGCAAGAGGCUUCAAUAACAAUCUCUGUGUCAAAACUUCUGGGUCUCAGCUGAUAAACACACAUCUGGUCAACCUGCCUGUCGAACUGUCUGCAAUCAUUCUCCCCCACCUUCCCUACCUCCCUUCAGUGCUCCUGGGAGAGUCCAAACUUGCAUUUACCUCUGCUCAAAGCUGGUUUUUGAGUUCUGCUCCCCGGCUUGGAGGACGCUGAGGCCAUCAGAGAUCUCCAGGGGCUCUUUUUGGUCAUCAACUCUGCUUUGGAGGCUAAGUUCUUUUUCCUUCCGUUUCUCCAUCUGCUUCUGUAACCUUCUGUGCUGCAUCUCCUGCAUGGCCCUGAACUGGAGCCUCAAGGUGUCCUGUGAGCCUUCCUCUGCCAUCUUGCCCUUGGAGUAGGAAAAGAAGCCUGAGCCUAAGCAAACUCCACAAACUGCUCCUUUCCCAAGAGUGCUCAGCACAUAGCCAGCCCUGUCUACAACUCCCAAGCCUGGAGUUGGCUGCUUAUCUUUGCAUGUGUCCAUGAGGAAGCUUGGAAGACCCACUCUCACUUCAGGUCCUUUGAAAGCCAAAGCUGAGCCGAGCUAAGCGUCAGCUCUCUACACACCCUCCCAUGCCUGAAUGUGCCACCAGACCUGGAAUGGCAUCAGAAUACUCCCUCCAUCACUCAGAUUCAACAGUUGACUCCUUCCUGUCCCUAAAAACAGUGGCUCUCAACUCUGGCUGACCAUUAGAAUCUUCUAGGAGUUCCUAAAAUAUAGCAAUGCUGGGGCACAUCCCUGGACCAUUUAAAAUCUUAAUUCCUAGGAAUGGGGCUCAGACAUCAUUACUGUUUUUAACUAAAGUAUAAUUUUAAGUUGAAUUAUAAUUUACACAUAGUAAAGUGCGUAAGUCCUGAGUGUACCGCUCAAUAAAUCUUUACACAGGUAUGCAGCCCUGGCUCCGGCCAGGGCCCCGGUGGCUGCCGGCUCCCCCAGCUCCAGCCCGGGCCCUUCUGUACUUUUCCCCGCACUUACAGUGGUCACUCCGCUGCUGCCUUCUUGGGCUGCAGCAGCUCGGGCGCCUCCUUCAGACGCCUUCUUGCGCUGCCCCGGCAACCGUCACCAGGGAAACCAGCCACGCCGCUGCGUGACGUUCUCACGAGUCUACGGCAACCAAGAGGGCGCCGGGAGUCCGGAAAGGAACAGAGGCGCAGAUGGUCCGGGUUGAGGCGGUAAGUACACAGGCGAGGUGGGCUGACGGAUGAGGGCGUCUUGUGUAUGAGACUUUAAAGUUGGCCCAGUGGUCCGCUUCUGGAACAUAUUUUAAAAGUUUUGUGGGCCAAACGUUCUGCGCAGAGAUGCGCAUCCCGCAGUCCUGCUGGGGGGAAUUAAGGUGAAUGAUUCUACCAUGAAAUUUAACGUAGCCAUUCAGAAUGUCUUUGGAAAAUGUGGAACAGUGUCGGAGGAAAGGUUAUUUUGUGACGGUGAGUGAAAAAGGCAGGACACGAAAUAGUAACUGCUAAGUAAAUGAAGUUGUGUUUUUAAAAACUAAGAACGGAGGGAAUUCCCUGGCGGUCCAAUGGUUAAGGCUCCGCGCUUCCACUGCAGGGCACGGGUUCGAUCCCUAGUUGGGGAACUAAGAUCCCGCAUGCCCUGCAUGGCGCGGCCCAAACAAACAAAAAACAAAAUUGAAAAUUGAAAAUUGAAAACCCCUAGGAACAGAAACAAGACUGCAGAGGAAUGCAUAGAAAUAUUAGAGUUAAAAAUGGUUGUAUUCGUGUGCUGGAAUUGCAGUGCUGUGUUUUUAUUUUUGCACUUUAGGGGAUUUAAAAUAUAGUGAACAUGGUUUAUUUUCAAAGUGGAAAACACUUGUAUGUUUGGGUUUUUUAAAAAGACACUUACCAAUUUAAGUCACUACUAUAUCCAGGUCUUUAUAAUUAGAAAGUCUUCAGAUAUCUCACGGUUGUUUUUCUUUCUUUUUUUCCUCAUAAGGCAUUCACCCACAGACGUGCAUGAGGGUGGGGCACCAGAUCACAUUUUGCAGAACUCUAAUGCAAUAUCACAACCAGAAUAUGGACGUUGGUAAUUUGACUAGAUUGCGCAAAGAAAGAAUCGAUCGCUGGAAGCAAACGCUUUCUGUUCACCACAGGUGAACAGCUCUUUCCACCAGAAAGGAUAAACAUGAUUUUCCACCUGGGCUCCCCAGCUGGCUUCUGGUACUUGGUAUGAUGGAGAGUUACCGUGGUUAUGCAUGAACGUUAGGUUACAAGCACCCUGGCAUCAGAACCUCUGUUAAACAUUUCCGCCCACAGCACCCGAUGGUGUGCUGCACAUGGAAAAUACUUGUUGACUCAAGACUAUCUCUCUGCAGAGGCCGUGCGGCUUGCAAGAUCUUAGUUCCCCAACCAAGGAUUGAACCCGGGCCACAGCAGUGAAAGUGCCAAAUCCUAAUCACUGGACCACCAGGGAAUUCCCUGAUGCUACCCAUUUUCCUUUUGAAACACACUCCCUUUCGCUAGCACUUUAUAUUUUGUUGAGUCAUUUCUAGCAUUUUGCUUUGUAUUCUGUGUAACCUUAGUUUCUCGGGGCCCCACUCAGAUAUGAAGAGUCAGGGAAGCACACCUAAUAAUAAAAAUGGUAACAGAAGAGUUAUUACUCCAAUCUGCUCCCAUCAAGAAAGCUAGGAUCUUCCCGCUAUAUCCACUAUAUGCCAGUCUUACAUCUCUUUUCAUCCUUGUGAUCUUAGCUGUGUCUCCUUCACAUUGCUGUUCCCAUGACAUGAGUCAACUGUCACGCUCACUCUGGUGUUUAUGCGUGAUGCUGUCCCGUCUCCUAUCACUUGGUGCUAAGCUACGCCCCAUUAUUCUAUCAGGCCCCAUACAGUCCAGGCUGUGCCUCUGUUCUUUUUCACUUUGUUGAAGUUGAGGAAGGACAUCUCUUCCCACCCAGGUUGUACUUUUUCAAGUACACCCCGUACAAGUUACCCCUUCCCCUUGUUUUCUUAAUCUCUGAUAAAACCUGUUGUGUGACAACUCUUUAUGUUUGAGUUUUUCUGUCUUACAGCACCCCUCCCCUACCCUCUUGUCUAGAGGAACUUGUACUAAGCUAAGUCAGGGGUCAGAGUAAUCUGACCCAAUCCUUCCCUGUUCUCAGUCAAGGGCCCUGGACAGAAGGGCCCACAGCUGUGCUUUUGUGCUCUCUCCUCCCGUUCUCUCUCUCUCUCUCUCUCUCUCUCUCUCUCUCUCUCUCUCUCUCUCAUCUGAGAGAUCAAGGUGUGAUUUCAUUCUGUAACUUAAUCAAGUGUCUCUGGGGCAGCCUGUUAGCCUUCAUCUCACCAGUCAUUGUCUUUCCAGGGAGGCCUGUCUGGGGCUCCCAGAAAUGGAAGCCUGGUGGCCUGCUCUGACACAUGCAAUGCUUGAGUAGACAAGCAGAACCAGCCCUCUUUGGGCUAUCGGUCCACUGUGUCCUCUUCUAACCUCUCCAUUAGCUUCUAAGACACUUGGAGAGGAGCUGAGCACCAUUCAGCUUUGUACACUCUGAAGCAACUAGCAUAGUUACAUAGGAUGGCAAGAACUCCAUUAAACUUUUGCAGAAUGAAUUACUACAAUCCAUUGAAUCUUGUGCUCUGCUUUUCUUCCUUAACAUUAUUGCAAGAAAUGAUCAAAUAGAAGUCAAAGUUUAGUUCCACUUUUUUCUAUGCUAAGUAUAUCACACUGAUUCCAAUUCCAUCACUUAUCUGAGUUUUAAAACAUUGAGAUGUAAUUCACAUACCAUAAAAUUCACCCCUUUGGGGUGUACAAUACAGUAGUUUUUAAUAUAUUCACAAAGUUGUAUAACCAUCAGCUUUAAUUCCAGACCAGCAUUUUUAUCAUGCCAAAUCUGGGUGAUACCCAUUAACUGUCACGCCCAGUCACCCUCUCUCUCCCCCCAGCCUCCCCCACCCCGCCCAGGCAAGCAAUUACUAAUUUAUUUUCUUUGUCUAUGGAUUUGCCUAUUCUGGAUAUGUCAUAAAAAUGGAAUCAUAUAAUAUGUGGACUUUUGUAUCUGGUUUCUUUCACUUAGCACUGUGCUUUC